rnacentral:lncRNA from 1 species
UCAUGUGUUAAGCUUGACCCAGGUAUGUUCAAUAAUCCAAGUUCCAGUUUUUGUUCACACAAAUUUUAUCUUGAUGAAUGAUGCGGGUGUGUGUGUGGUGUUCUUUACAUAAAUGAUUUUACACUCGCAGGCAAACCCAAAAACAUUGGUGGUUGUAGCCUGUGCUCUGAGAAUAUCCUGCAUCCUGCUGGGGGUGGAUACCACGGUGCCCAAGCUCGAUCUGUUCGACAUGCUCCUGGUGGCCUACAGAUUUCAUUCAAACAAGUGUGGUAGAAUCGUCCAUCACUAUGCUAAUAUAAUGUAGGCGGAAGAAGCAGAAAAUCAUGUUUAUGAACGUCAAACCUGUUCCAGUAGAAUCAUGCAUCAUUUUGGUUGUAAUGAAGGUUAAAACUCCACUUUGAUGUAUGUCCGAUGUUAUUAAUCUGUUUCAUGUAGUAAGGAGGUGCUUGUUACAUUUUGCUGUGAAGCAAGAUGUUUGACAUGGAUCUGCCGCCAAACAUUUUGAUAUCAUCUCUUAGAUUGAAAUUCCAGAAUAUAAUCCUCAUCUCAAAUAUAUACUCAUAACUACUAACACCCUAUCAUCGGCAUUGGCAAUGAUCUAGUGCUAUUUUUUCU